AAUCAUGGCUCAGGACGAACGCUGGCGGCGUGCUUAACACAUGCAAGUCGAACGGAGCACCCUUGACUGAGGUUUCGGCCAAAUGAUAGGAAUGCUUAGUGGCGGACUGGUGAGUAACGCGUGAGGAACCUGCCUUUCAGAGGGGGACAACAGUUGGAAACGACUGCUAAUACCGCAUGAUGCGUAACUGGGACAUCCCGGAUACGCCAAAGAUUUUAUCGCUGAAAGAUGGCCUCGCGU
rnacentral:rRNA from 1 species